GUUUGUAAAAGUCAAGUUCAUCAAUGUAUUUUAAGCAUUCACCUGAAACAGAUUGAAAAUAAUCUAUGUAACCUAGAAGCUUAGAAUAUAUUUUUGAAAAUGGUUGACACAAACGUACUAAUGAUUUUAAGAGUUAUUUCCCUUAACCUAGGUCUAUCUCCUUAAGCAGAUAAUGUCAUUUUUGUAUAUGUCUCUCUUGUUUUUUUUUGUAUUGGUGCAAUAAUCAAUUUUCAAAAGUUGUUUUUGGAAUCAGUAAAAUGCCAUAAUAAUUGUUUCUGUUGCUUUCUCCUGAAAAGGACAUUUCUUAUUUCUUCAUUUUAUGUUGAUAAGCAUUGUAUGUCUUAACUUGGUUUCAGUUGAAAGAAUUCACAUUUACACAUAUCAUUUGAACCAUAAGUGUAUCUAGUUCAUUAUGCUUGAAAGUCAGCAUUAUAUUUUACCACACCAUUUUUAUUUACCAGAUAUAUGGAAAUACUUUUAACAAUGAAAGAUUUGUAAACAAUAAAUACAGAACAUAUCAAUUUGUCUUUUUUGAAAGUUUUUUACAAUUUCUUUUUAUUUAGCUUAGGAUGUACUGCAUUAUCUAAUACAAUUAUUAAAAUAUCUAUGAAUAAUUAUAUUUUAGUUAGUUACUAUUUCACCAAAGAAACAAGUACAGGUAGUUUUACUUGGUCAAAAAUGCUUUAUACUAUCUGUUUGUGAGAUAAUUAGUAUAGAAACAGCACAAAUAAUACCAAAUAUUGUUUUUCAUUUGUAGAAAAGAUUGGUAUGUCUCAUAGAUGUAUAACAAAAACGUAUUCAUUUUGAAUAUUGUUUUUAAUUUGUAGAAAAGAUUUAUAUGUCUCAAAGAUUUAUACCAGAAAAAAGUAUUUUACCUGCAAAGUGAAAACAUUUAAGGACUGUUUGUUUUCUUUUCACACUGAUUGGUUUCUAAUUUUUUAUAUUAUUUUUACUUUUAUUUAUGUUCAAUGCAUCAGAAUGGAUAAACCAUUCUAUAUUAGCUUCUAUGUAUGGCUUUACAACUUUCAUAAUGGAUUGACCUGUAAUAAUUGAUGUUUCACUGCAGAUUAAAAUAAAUGGGUCAUUUUGUUUUGCUACAAUCAGAAUUUGAUUGUAAUUUGAUUUCAUAGUGUUCUGUGGAUUCAUAAGCACUGUUGGAUACCAAUUGUCAUUUAUUUUGUGGGAGUAGGUGAACCAGAAAUUUAAAUGUUCUAAGAAGAAGGAAUUUUAUUUUGGCUUACAAGCAGCAUUUAGAAAAACCAUGAAAUCAAAUAUCCAUGAAGUGGGUCUCAUUGGGGUCUAAGCGGGACACGUGAAAGUCAAAUUAUUGUGUCGUGAAAACGGGAAAUGAGGUCUAGGGACCCGGAAAUGACAAAAAAUGAGAAUUGCUUACGUACAUAGUGUAAGCGGGAUACAGGAAUCUGACAAAACAGUAAGCGGGAUCCGGGAUCGGAAACCCCCGAUGAGACCCCCAAUAAACAUACGAUUUUCCCCCAAUCCACAAAAAUUGAUAACCAUGAAAAAUAAGUGAGUAUAUGAGAUGGUAUGCACAGCAAACAUGAUAAAAGCAUCAUGAAUGAAUGGAAGUUGUGUUAUUGUCUUUUAAUUGGUCAUUCCAUUAGUCUUGUUUCAAAAUGCAAUAUGAUGUUUGAAUUAAUGUCUCUUUGUAUUAAGUUAUGUACUUUAAUGACAUGUUAAUUGAUGUACUUCCACAAUAUUAUUUGUUAAUUUAUGAUAAUUUUACCAUAAAAUAUAGUUGUGAUAUGUUAGAAAGGCUAAUAAGAAA
rnacentral:lncRNA from 1 species